rnacentral:siRNA from 1 species
UAAUUCAAGUGGUGUGUUCAGC